rnacentral:rRNA from 1 species
AUUGAACGCUGGCGGCAGGCCUAACACAUGCAAGUCGAACGGUAACAGGAAGAAGCUUCUUCUUUGCUGACGAGUGGCGGACGGGUGAGUAAUGUCUGGGAAACUGCCUGAUGGAGGGGGAUAACUACUGGAAACGGUAGCUAAUACCGCAUAACGUCGCAAGACCAAAGAGGGGGACCUUCGGGCCUCUUGCCAUCGGAUGUGCCCAGAUGGGAUUAGCUAGUAGGUGGGGUAACGGCUCACCUAGGCGACGAUCCCUAGCUGGUCUGAGAGGAUGACCAGCCACACUGGAACUGAGACACGGUCCAGACUCCUACGGGAGGCAGCAGUGGGGAAUAUUGCACAAUGGGCGCAAGCCUGAUGCAGCCAUGCCGCGUGUAUGAAGAAGGCCUUCGGGUUGUAAAGUACUUUCAGCGGGGAGGAAGGGAGUAAAGUUAAUACCUUUGCUCAUUGACGUUACCCGCAGAAGAAGCACCGGCUAACUCCGUG